AAAAAAUUGAAAUUUCAGAACACAGUUGCUUCAGCUCAGGUUUGAAUCUGUAUGUAUGUGUAAUGUGUGUGUUCGAUGAAUUUUGAUGGUGUGGAGAUGGAAUUGUGUUGUAGGGGUGGGAAGAAGGCGAAGGGCUUGGGAAAGAGAAGCAAUGGAUCAAAGGAUAUGUCAGGGUUAAGGACAAACAGGACACUGCAGGUAUUGGUGUAGAUGAACCCAAAAAUAAUUGGGCGUUUGAUACAUCACAGUUUGACAACAUCCUAAAGAGAUUGAAAGUGCAAGUAGCAGAAAUCAAGGAUGAAGGU